UCCGCGCUGGUGUACCGGUAACAUUUCCGCCUCUCAGCAUCAAAAGAUGGAAGUGCGCGGGAGCACGGGGUUCGACUCCCCGGCGCGGAA